ACGUAGGAGGCGAGCGUUGUCCGGAUUCAUUGGGCGUAAAGAGCACGCAGGCGGUUUGGCAAGUCGGAUGUGAAAACCCGGAGCUCAACUCCGGACCUGCAUCCGAAACUGCCCGACUAGAGGUAGGUAGGGGAGAUCGGAAUUCCUGGUGUAGCGGUGAAAUGCGCAGAUAUCAGGAGGAACACCAAUUGCGAAGGCAGCUCGCUGGGACGUAACUGACGCUGAGACGCGAAAGCGUGGGGAGCAAACAGGA
rnacentral:rRNA from 1 species